AUAUAUAUCAUGUCUUAUGUCAUAGUUGUUUCAUAUCUAGUCUUCUAAGUAAGCUUAAGUAAAGUACUCCCAAUGGUCAAUUCUACCUAUUCAAUCAUACCCUAAACCAAACCCUAACCAAACCUUAAAUCCUAAAUCAAAUCCUAUCUAAAUCUUAAACCAUAAACCAAAUCUUAAUCCAAAUCCUAAACUCUAAAUCAAACCCUAACCAAAUCCUAAACCCUAAAUCAAACCCUAAUCCAAACCCUAAUCCAAACUUUAAACCCUAAAUCAAAUCCUAACCAAACCCUAAACCAAAUCCUAAUCCAAAUCCUAAAUCCUAAAUAAAACCCUAAUCAAACCUUAAAUCCUAAAUCAAAUCCUAUCCAAAUCCUAAAUCCUAAACUAAACUCUAAUCC
rnacentral:lncRNA from 1 species